CCGGAGCCUAUGGAGGUAAGCUCUCUGGUACCUCACCCCAACCCGUGGAACAGGACCUCAGAGGGCACACAUGCCAGCUGAGGUAUGGCUUGGGUUGGUGGCCUGGCAAGCACAGGUCUUCAGUGUCCCAUCAGCCCAUGUCCCUUGGGACCCACAUUUCCUGACACCCACUGAGUGCAAAGCCGGAAGGACCAAAGCUGGUCCGUUCUGAGUCCUGGCUCUACCUCUGGCUAGCUGUGCAGCUUUGGCAAUUUCCUUAAUCUCACUGAGCCUGUUUCCUUAUCCAUAAAAUAGGGAUAUGACAAGA